UUCUAUUGUUGCUAUUGCGAAGCGAAAAUGGUGCGCUGCCUAAAAAGGUUCUUUUUGCGAGUGUGGAGUAAUAAGGAGAAGAAGAAAGGGAGAGAUGAUGAUGCUGAACCAAAUGCUCAGCAAGUUACAGAUUGUCCUACAAAGUUGGACGAAAAUUGUCUUGGAACAACGUGUCUCCAUUCAAAUAGAGAGGAUUCGUAGUUCCCAGACAAGUAUUCAAAGAGGAGAAAAUUUAUAGAAUUCUGCAGGAAUGCAUUCUAUAAAUUCUGUUGUUGUUGUCGUAUGUCGGGCGAGAUUUCCGAUUCACAGAACUGCGAAUUGGAAAAUAAUCUUGCGCAUUCUCAAAUUCGAUUGGAUUCAUCAAAAUAUGAUGAAAAAAUUCGUAAUGAAAAUUACGAGAUUAAAGAAAUAGGAAAGGGAAAUUUCGGUACAGUUUUUUUGGCUCGGUGUAAAAAUUCAGACGAAAAAGUGGCUUUGAAAGCCGUCAAGAUGAAGCGCUUUUGUCUCGCACAGAGGCGCGAGAUAAACAAAGAAAAAACUGCAUGGACGUCCGCAUCGAGCCAUCCCCAUAUUGUGACGUUAAUAAGUUAUUUCAAAAUGAAUACAAG